GACGAACGCUGGCGGCGUGCUUAACACAUGCAAGUCGAACGGAAAGGCCCUGCUUUUGUGGGGUGCUCGAGUGGCGAACGGGUGAGUAACACGUGAGUAACCUGCCCUUGACUUUGGGAUAACUUCAGGAAACUGGGGCUAAUACCGGAUAGGAGCUCCUGCUGCAUGGUGGGGGUUGGAAAGUUUCGGCGGUUGGGGAUGGACUCAGGGCUUAUCAGCUUGUUGGUGGGGUAAUGGCUUACCAAGGCGUCGACGGGUAGCCGGCCUGAGAGGGUGAUCGGUCACAAAGGAACGGGGAGACGGUCAAGAGUCCGACGGGAGGCAGCAGGGGGGAAUAGUGGACAAUGGGCGGAAGCCUGGUUCAGCCAUGCCGAGUGUGUGAAGAAGGUCUUCGGAUGGUAAAGCACUUUAAGUUGGGAGGAAGGGCAGUAAGUUAAUACCUUGCUGUUUUGACGUUGCCAACAGAAUAAGCACCGGCUAACUUCGUG
rnacentral:rRNA from 1 species